UAAGGUAGCGAAAUUCCUUGUCGGGUAAGUUCCGACCUGCACGAAUGGUGCAACGAUCUGGACACUGUCUCAGCCAUGAGCUCGGUGAAAUUGUAGUAUCGGUGAAGAUGCCGAUUACCCGCUGUGGGACGAAAAGACCCCGUGAACCUUUACUAUAGUUUAGUAUUGGCUUUGGAUAAGUAAUGUGUAGGAUAGGUGGGAGACUUCGAUCGUGCGUCGCUAGGCGUGCGUGAGUCAUUGUUGAAAUACCACCCUUUGCUUAUCUAGAGUCUAACCUCUAACCAGGGACAGUGCUUGGUGGGUAGUUUGACUGGGGUGGUCGCCUCCAAAAGGAUAACGGAGGCUUCCAAAGGUUCCCUCAGUACGCUUGGUAACCGUACGAGGAGUGCAAUAGCAUAAGGGAGCUUGACUGUAAGGCCGACAAGCCGAGCAGGGUGGAAACACGGGUAUAGUGAUCCGGCGGUUUUGAAUGGAAGAGCCGUCGCUCAAAGGAUAAAAGGUACGCUGGGAUAACAGGCUGAUCUCCCCCAAGAGCUCAUAUCGACGGGGAGGUUUGGCACCUCGAUGUCGGCUCGUCACAUCCUGGGGCUGGAGAAGGUCCCAAGGGUUGGGCUGUUCGCCCAUUAAAGUGGCACGCGAGCUGGGUUCAGAACGUCGUGAGACAGUUCGGUCCCUAUCUGUUGCGGGCGUGGGAAGUUUGCGAGGACCUGACCUUAGUACGAGAGGACCGGGUUGGACUGACCGCUGGUGUACCGGUUGUGAUGCCAAUUGCAUUGCCGGGUAGCUACGUCGGGAAGAGAUAAGCGCUGAAAGCAUCUAAGCGCGAAGCCUCUUCCAAGAUUAGAUCUCCCUGGGGCCUUGAGCCCCCUAAAGAGCCGUUCAAGACCAGGACGUUGAUAGGCAGGGUGUGUAAGUGCUG
rnacentral:rRNA from 14 species